GUCCUGAUGAAUAAAUAUCAGGUCUGACCUGCCCACUGACAUUAGUUCAACGGCCGCGGUAUUUCUGACCGUGCAAAGGUAGCAUAAUCACUAGUCUUUUAAUUGAAGGCUUGUAUGAAAGGUUGGACGAAGAAUAAACUGUUUCAAAUAAAUUCAUUGAAAUUAACUUUUAAGUGAAAAGGCUUAAAUUUAUUAAAAAGACGAUAAGACCCUAUAAAUCUUUACAUUAAUAUAUAAUAAUUAUUUAAUUUAUUUAAGUUUAAAAGAAAAUAUUAAUUUAAUGUUAUGUUGGGGCGACAGAUAUAAAGUAAAUUUAACUGUUUAAUUUUCUCUAACAAAUUAUUAUUGAUUUAAAGAUCCUUCUUAAAGAUUAAAAGAUUAAGUUACUUUAGGGAUAACAGCGUUAUUCUUUUUGAGAGUUCCUAUCGAAAAAAGAGUUUGCGACCUCGAUGUUGAAUUAAAAUUUCUCUAUGGUGCAGCCGCUAUAGCAGAAAGUCUGUUCGACUUUUAAAAUUUU
rnacentral:rRNA from 1 species